UGUAAACAUGUCCCUAGUUGCUACAAUUUAGGGGGUGUUUGGUUUGAGUUGCUUAUGCAUAAGCAGCUAAAACUAAGCAACUUAUAGCCCAAAGAAACCAAACACCCUUGCUUAUGGGGUUGCUUAUUUUUAGCUCAUAAGCAACACAAGGGUUGCUUAUGGGGGCUAAAAGGUGGUCUUUAUACCUGUGCCCUCAUUUAUUGUCUUGCUGACUCCCCUUUCUCUCUCCUUCCCACCCCCCUCUCUCUCCCCACCGAUCC
rnacentral:lncRNA from 1 species